UACGUAGGGGCCGAGCGUUGUCCGGAGUUAUUGGGCGUAAAGCGCGCGCAGGCGGCUUCGCGCGCCCGCCGUGAAAGCCCCCGGCUUAACCGGGGAGAGUCGGUGGGGACGGCGGAGCUUGAGGGCGGGAGAGGUCGGUGGAAUUCCCGGUGUAGUGGUGAAAUGCGUAGAGAUCGGGAGGAACACCUGUGGCGAAGGCGGCCGACUGGGCCGACCCUG
rnacentral:rRNA from 1 species